ensembl:misc_RNA 7SK 7SK RNA
GGAUGUGAGGGCGAUCUGGCUGCGACAUCUGUCACCCCAUUGAUCACCAGGGUUGAUUCGGCUGAUCUGGCUGGCUAGGCGGGUGUCCCCUUCCUCCCUCACCACUCCAUGUGCAUCCCUCCCGAAGCUGCGCGCUCAGUCGAAGAGGACGACCUUCCCCAAUAGAGGAGAGGACCCUUCUUCGGUCAAGGGUAUACGAGUAGCUCAAGCUCUCGUAUAGAACCUGCUAGAACCUCCAAACAAGCUCUCAAGAGUAGAAUUUAGUGAUUUAUCAGUUGCAUGUAACACUUAGUGCUCAACACACCAAGUCAUCCCAACACUUCUCUGUGUAGUCAUUG